UACGUAGGGUGCGAGCGUUGUCCGGAAUUAUUGGGCGUAAAGAGCUUGUAGGCGGUUUGUCGCGUCUGCUGUGAAAUUUCGGGGGCUCAACCCCGAACUUGCAGUGGGUACGGGCAGACUAGAGUGUGGUAGGGGGAGACUGGAAUUCCUGGUGUAGCGGUGAAAUGCGCAGAUAUCAGGAGGAACACCGAUGGCGAAGGCAGGUCUCUGGGCCACUACUGACGCUGAGAAGCGAAAGCAUGGGGAGCGAACAGG
rnacentral:rRNA from 1 species